UUGAGCAUUGAUGCUAGACUGCACUUUGUUUCAAACUGAAAUGCAAUGGGCACGUACGUGAGUCCAGAUUCUGGGCUGGCCAGCCCUAUAACUACAACCAGUUAUUUCUGCACUUUAAUACCCUUUAUUACACAAUUAACAUAGUUUCAACCACAAUAGCAUAUUCUUAAUUCAACCACAAUAGCAUAGUUUCAUCGCAAUCAAACACCAUAAAACACAAAGCUGCUGCCAUGCAUUAUUACAUCAAAACACUAUAGAUUCAAAAUGCAACAAUGAAUAACAUGCAUUCAAGAUCCUAAGCACACCUUAGGAUAGGUUUAAGUGGGGAAACUAUAGGUUACCUCUUAGAAGCACACCUUUUCCAUUUGAAUCACCCCCCAACUUAAAUUUGAUGAUUUGCAUCUACUUCCAUUUCUCCGUCGUUUUGUAAGUGUUUUUUAUAGGGAAGGUGUUAAAUGAGUGUUGAAAAGUUAGAGUCGUCCAAAUAUAAGAGCUCAAAUGAAUAAUUUGGUAAGUUGCGGUGCAUGUUGUUUCUUAGUUGUCGCAGAAGUUCCACAUUGCUUAAUCUUUCCACAUAUUUAGUGUGUAUAUAAUGUGCACACUC
rnacentral:lncRNA from 1 species